UUUUGUUGCAAAUGCACACCAUCUUGUGAAGAAGCUGGACAGCACAUAGAUACAUCAAAUUGUAAAGAGUUCUGGAGAGGAAGUUUUGUCCAGGUUUUGUUUGUUCUUGUUCUCCGGUUGGUUUUUUUUGUUGACCCGAAUUGACCUGGGACUGUUCGCUGUGAGGCUGGAGUCACUGGAUCCAGGACCUGUGGACCUGCUGGACGCCUUGACGUCUCUUCUUGGUGGACCUGGCCUUCAUUGCAGUACAGUUGAAUUAAACUAAGAUCUUGUGCACCAACGAAAGAAAGAAACAAAAAAUCAUACUACCCGGGUAGAUGAGACAAAAUAGUUUUUUUUCAGAGCUCUGAACUUUUUAUUUUUGAAAGGACAAAUUGUUGGACAAAAGGACUUAUUUAUGUAGGGGUAAGCUGGUAAUACUUGGGGAAGAAUAUUGAUUCUGUUCAAUAAAUUUUACACACUUUUCUCAUUUCAACCUACAGUCUAAAUUUAUUACACCUUCUUUCCUCCUUUAGAACCUAGAUUGCUGGGUACACGUAUCAUUCAUAUCUUACUA